rnacentral:rRNA from 1 species
UACGGAGGGUGCGAGCGUUAUCCGGAUUCACUGGGUUUAAAGGGUGCGUAGGUGGGUAUGUAAGUCAGUGGUGAAAUCUCUGAGCUUAACUCAGAAACUGCCAUUGAUACUAUGUUGCUUGAAUUUUCUGGAGGUCAGCGGAAUAUGUCAUGUAGCGGUGAAAUGCUUAGAUAUGACAUAGAACACCAAUUGCGAAGGCAGCUGGCUACAGGGAUAUUGACACUGAGGCACGAAAGCGUGGGGAUCAAACAGG